rnacentral:lncRNA from 1 species
GACUCUCCAACAUCCAUCUUCUUUGCAGAAGAGAAACCUGUGAGUUGUGCUCUGCGUUGGAUUCAGAGCAUACGUGAAACAACGGUGUUCAGCAGUGCUACUGAGAAGGUACCAAAGAGAUCAGACGUAGCGUUGGCACAUACCAAAGAGAUGAAAUUCUGUCUCCAUGUCUUCAGCUAACCAAAGGUCACAGAAUCACACAGGAGUCACAGAAUUGCAGGGGGUUGUGAGGGACCUCUGGAGAUCAUCUAGUCCAACUACAAGUACUUGUAGGAAUAUGAAGAAUAUUGGAGAUGCUGCUGUGCUUCCAUUCAGUGGAAUUACAUGAUUCAUUAAUAGGGAGCAGAAGUCAUCUGCUGGCAGACAUGCGUUCAUGUCUCUUCUGUGUGGUCCCUGAAGCCCUGCAAACAGGGCAGGGUGUCUACUUGUGGUCUUCAUUAAGGAGAACUGGGACAGAUUAACUGACUUUCUCAGGUCACACGAAGACUCUCCAAUGUACUCCAAAUCUCCAGAUCCAUCUGCUAUGCAUCUCACCACACUUUCUCUAAAAACACUGCCCAGAGCAAUUUUACUCUUCACUCUUAGUUUGCUGUAAGUGGUAAGGUUGACCAAGAAGAAACAAGAGCUUAUGGGCAUAAUUUAAAGAUCCCUUGAAAAAUGUAAUCAAAAC